CUGGGCGUAAGAGCAUGUAGGCGGGUAUUUAAGUCAGGAGUGAAAACUAUGGGCUCAACCCAUAGCCUGCUCUUGAAACUGGAUACCUUGAGGGUAUGAGAGGAAAGCGGAAUUCCCAGUGUAGCGGUGAAAUGCGUAGAUAUUGGGAGGAACACCAGUGGCGAAGGCGGCUUUCUGGCAUACAACUGACGCUGAGAUGCGAAAGCGUGGGGAGCGAACGGGAUUAGAUACCCCGGUAGUCCACGCCGUAAACGAUGGGUACUAGGUGUAGGAGGUAUCGACCCCUUCUGUGCCGUAGUUAACACAAUAAGUACCCCGCCUGGGGAGUACGGCCGCAAGGUUGAAACUCAAAGGAAUUGACGGGGGCCCGCACAAGCGGUGGAGCAUGUGGUUUAAUUCGACGCAACGCGAAGAACCUUACCAGGGCUUGACAUCCUCUGACGUCUCAAGAGAUUGGGAGUUUAGGAGCUUGCUCUUAACAGAGAGACAGGUGGUGCAUGGUUAUCGUCAGCUCGUGUCGUGAGAUGUUGGGUUAAGUCCCGCAACGAGCGCAACCCUUAUCUUUAGUUGCCAGCAAUUCGGUUGGGCACUCUAGAGAGACUGCCGGUGACAAACCGGAGGAAGGUGGG
rnacentral:rRNA from 1 species